CCUGUCACCAGGUUCCGGAUGAGGAGGGCCUCGUCCUCUUUGUGGUACUCCAGCAUGCCCUGGAAAUCCUUCUCUUUCCGCUGGACCGUGACCUGCCUGUUGAGCUCAUGGCGCUUCCUCUCACUCUGGGCCAAUGCCUGGGCAGCUGAGCAGGAAAGAAAACAGGAAGCAUGGAUGAGACUUCCAGCUGCAGGCCUGAGGGUUUUCUACCAGUUCUUUAAGGUCCUGGAAGCAGAG
rnacentral:lncRNA from 1 species